UCCAAUUAUUUUUUCUUCUUAUAUAAUCAGUUCUCGGGCUUUCUUCAUCUACAAUCAAUCCAUUCUCUGUAUUGCUGUUAGAAAUAUCGUCAAAACUUACACGACAUCGAACAUGAAACACGCGAUAGAAAUGUGAGAUGUUGUGGCAUCAAACUGGCUACCCUUGACUGCUCUCAAUCUAGGGGCCAUCAGACCCUGCAUGUCGUGCACCCACACGGAGAGACGGCUCCGCUAUCGGGCUAGGGCCGUGUGAAGCUCCCCGGUGGUUGCGAUCCCUGGCGGCUUAGCAACAGCGGUGACCGGUCGGGCGCUUCUCUCUCUCUCAGGUCCAUUGACCGUCGCUUAAGCAUGAUGACGGGGUCAUUGAACCACUUCUAACCGCGAGGGUCUUUGGAUCCUCAAUGGUGGCUAGGCGAAAGAGGCCAACCACUGCUAACCUGGUACGUCCCCUUUUUGCCCCUUCUUUUCAGUUUUCUUGCUUUGUACUUGGUUCCACAUCUGGUUUAGGUGUCCAUUUCGUGCCAUGUUUGCGAUAUGAUGAUGUUACUAAUGAGCAUCGACAAAAAGAGUUGAAGAAAAUUAAAGGACUUGAUUGCUAUAAAAAAUCAGAGGAAUGAAUGUAUGUAUAAAUGGUGAAGGGACUGAAGCUGUGGUCUAAUCCUUUGUCAUUAUGUUCUGAUAGGAACCACUCCCGAACACAUCCAAGUGGUCAAAUAGUGAAAAGAAUUACUAGAUCAGUUUUAAACCUAUUGUAUAAAUACCAAUUCAGUUUAUAUCUUUUCAACAUUAUUAAUUUAGUUCUAAACAUCUGCAUGAAAUUUCAAUGCAAUUCUUUUGAUCAAUUUUCACCAAAAAUGGCUAAAAUGAUGGUUUAGUUAUUGCCGAUCAUUCUAAGUGAUCUCCUGCCUUGUUAGUGAUUAAUGGUGAAAAUUGGUUAAGAUGACUACCUUGGAAUUUCACGCAAAGAUUUAUGACUAAAUCAACAAAAUAGUAGAUUUUAAAAUUGAACAACAUCCGUAUAUUGGUUUAGCAGGACAAUUUUCUUUCAAAUAGUGCUGAAGCUCGCACACAAAAGCAGAAGGUAAAUUACUAAGCUUGAUUAUAAGAGUAAUACGAUCAUUCGAGGACGAAUAAACCAAACAUCUAAAACCAUUUCAUUGUCAAUCAACGGAAUAUUUGGGGAACAUUUGCCAUCUAGGAAGUAUAAUGUCACACGCAGGGGCACAGACUGGCCCCAUGUUCCGUCGGCCUCUUUAUAGCUCGCACCAUGUGCGUCUUUUUUACUCCUUCCCUCUGUCUAUGAUCUGUCUGAGAUCUCUCUCUCUCUCUCUCUCUCUCUCUCUCUAAUCUUGCCUAUAUAAUGAGGAUCAUCGGAAAAUGUUGGUCGGCAAGAAUCACCGGCUCAAUCAUCUCUCUGCCAUCAGCGUUUUCAGAUCGAUAAAGAGAGGAAGGGAGGUGAGAGGAAGGUCGAACAUGGAUGGGUUUUUGAAGUGGACGCAGGUUCUUGCAUCAGCAUGGGGAGUCAUACUGAUUCUCGGUCUCAUCGGGUGUUGCCUCAGCACCAUCCCUCACCACCACGACGACAAAACCAGCGGUUGUGCUGGCUGCACUAGUGAUAUCGGUGUAUGAUGUGUGCUCAUUCUUCUUCUUCUUCUUGAAUUGUGAACAUACCGAGACCAUGCAGACAUCCGUUGGUUAAAGGCCAUGAAAACACUUCCUUUUUGACCGUGUUAACAGAUGAAGGUUGUACAGUUGGUAGUCUUCAUCGUUUCUGUUUGAUUCUCAAUCUUAUAUUGUAUAUGGAUCUUGUAAAUGAGUCUUGAUAUGCCUAGGUCAUGCUAUAAGUGUAUACGAAUUAAUUUGUGGUGCAUACUGUUCAUUCUUCGUAGAAAUGCAACCUCAAGAUGUCUGUCUAGUUGACAAGAAGUCUUUAUUUGAUGCUGAUUCAUGUUUAUCG
rnacentral:lncRNA from 1 species